rnacentral:rRNA from 1 species
UACGAAGGGUGCAAACGUUGCUCGGAAUCAUUGGGCGUAAAGCGCACGUAGGCGGCCUUGUAAGUCGGAUGUGAAAUCCCUCGGCUCAACCGAGGACGUGCAUCCGAAACUGCAAGCUCGAGUAUGGAAGAGGGUCGCGGAAUUCCCGGUGUAGAGGUGAAAUUCGUAGAUAUCGGGAGGAACACCAGUGGCGAAGGCGGCGACCUGGGCCAAUACUGACGCUGAGGUGCGAAAGCGUGGGGAGCAAACAGG